rnacentral:rRNA from 1 species
AUUGAACGCUGGCGGCAUGCCUUACACAUGCAAGUCGAACGGCAGCACGGGGGCAACCCUGGUGGCGAGUGGCGAACGGGUGAGUAAUGCAUCGGAACGUGCCCAGUAGUGGGGGAUAACCAGUCGAAAGACUGGCUAAUACCGCAUACGACCCAAGGGUGAAAGCGGGGGACCGUAAGGCCUCGCGCUAUUGGAGCGGCCGAUGUCUGAUUAGCUAGUUGGCGGGGUAAGAGCCCACCAAGGCGACUAUCAGUAGCUGGUCUGAGAGGACGACCAGACACACUGGGACUGAGACACGGCCCAGACUCCUACGGGAGGCAGCAGUGGGGAAUUUUGGACAAUGGGCGCAAGCCUGAUCCAGCCAUGCCGCGUGCGGGAAGAAGGCCUUCGGGUUGUAAACCGCUUUUGGCAGGAACGAAACGGCGCAGGCCAAUACCUUGCGCUAAUGACGGUACCUGCAGAAUAAGCACCGGCUAACUACGUGCCAGCCGCCGCGGUAAUAC